AGCAGCCGCGGUAAUUCCAGCUCCAAUAGCGUAUAUUAAAGUUGUUGCAGUUAAAAAGCUCGUAGUUGAAUUUCGGGAUCAAUAUGUUGGUCGUGCCUUGGUACGUACUGGCGUCAUUGGUUUCUACCUUCUGAAGAACCUCGAUGUCAUUAAUUUGGUGUCUUGGGGGAAUCAGGACUGUUACUUUGAAAAAAUUAGAGUGUUUAAAGCAAGCUCACGCUUGAAUACAUUAGCAUGGAAUAAUGAAAUAGGACGUUUGAUUCUAUUUUGUUGGUUUCUAGGAUCGACGUAAUGAUUAAUAGGGAUAGUUGGGGGGCAUUAGUAUUCAAUUGUCAGAGGUGAAAUUCUUGGAUUUAUUGAAGACUAACUACUGCGAAAGCAUUUGCCAAGGAUGUUUUCAUUAAUCAAGAACGAAAGUUAGGGGAUCGAAGACGAUCAGAUACCGUCGUAGUCUUAACCAUAAACUAUGCCGACUAGGGAUCGGAUGAUGUUAAUUUUUUAAUGACUCAUUCGGCGCCUU
rnacentral:misc_RNA from 1 species